UACGUAGGCAGCAAGCGUUUGUUCGGAGUUACUGGGCGUAAAGGGUGUGUAGGCGGUUUCGUAAGUCUGGUGUGAAAUCUCCCGGCUCAACUGGGAGGGUGCGCCGGAAACUGCGAGGCUAGAGUGUGGGAUGGGAGAGUGGAAUUCCUGGUGUAGCGGUGAAAUGCGUAGAUAUCAGGAGGAACACCUGCGGUGUAGACGGCUCUCUGGACCACUACUGACGCUGAAACACGAAAGCGUGGGUAGCAAACAGG
rnacentral:rRNA from 1 species